rnacentral:rRNA from 1 species
GACGAACGCUGGCGGCAUGCCUAAUACAUGCAAGUCGAGCGAACAGAUGAAGUGCUUGCACUUCUGACGUUAGCGGCGAACGGGUGAGUAACACGUGGGUAACCUACCUAUAAGACUGGGAUAACUCCGGGAAACCGGGGCUAAUACCGGAUAAUAUUUUGAACCGCAUGGUUCAAUAGUGAAAGACGGUUUCGGCUGUCACUUAUAGAUGGACCCGCGCCGUAUUAGCUAGUUGGUAAGGUAACGGCUUACCAAGGGGACGAUACGUAGCCGACCUGAGAGGGUGAUCGGCCACACUGGAACUGAGACACGGUCCAGACUCCUACGAGAGGCAGCAGUAGGGAAUCUUCCGCAAUGGGCGAAAGCCUGACGGAGCAACGCCGCGUGAGUGAUGAAGGUCUUCGGAUCGUAAAACUCUGUUGUUAGGGAAGAACAAAUUUGUUAGUAACUGAACAAGUCUUGACGGUACCUAACCAGAAAGCCACGGCUAACUACGUGCCAGCAGCCGCAGUAA